GACGAACCGUGCGAACGUUAUUCGGAAUCACUGGGCUUAAAGGGCGCGUAGGCGGGCCACCAAGUCCGGGGUGAAAUCCUCCAGCUCAACUGGAGAACUGCCUCGGAUACUGGAGGUCUCGAGGGAGAUAGGGGCACGCGGAACUGUGGGUGGAGCGGUGAAAUGCGUUGAUAUCCAUAGGAACUCCGGUGGCGAAGGCGGCAUGCUGGAUCUCUUCUGACGCUGAGGCGCGAAAGCGUGGGGAGCAAACAGG
rnacentral:rRNA from 1 species